AAAACAUCUACUGUGUGUUGUUCAAAACAAAGCAAGGGCAAACAGAAUCAUUUCUUCUCACUGUUGGUCCGGCGGAAGGUUAUGAACACUUUGGCUCUGGUCACGUCAGGAACGCACGGACACACAUUCGCAUCAACCACCCUCAUGGCAAACAGGGGCAGAGAAGAGCAUCAUAUUAAUCUUGUAGGCAGUGAUAGUGAGUCUGUGGCACUGCGUGGGGAAUCUCCUGUGUCUCUGGUGUUGAAAGA